rfam:Trichinella britovi scaffold33s, whole genome shotgun sequence.
CCUCUGAUAGCUCAGUUGGUAGAGCGGUGGACUGUAGAUAAGAUUCAGAAAUCCAUAGGUCGCUGGUUCAAAUCCGGCUCAGAGGA